rnacentral:sRNA from 1 species
GCGCUUUGCUUCUCGGCGCGUUUCCUCCCAAGACUUGGGCCGCCGAACGCCGGCGGCCCUUUUUUUGAGCGGAG